UGCAGAAUCCCGUGAACCAUCGAGUCUUUGAACGCAAGUUGCGCCCGAAGCCUUCUGGCCGAGGGCACGCCUGCCUGGGUGUCACACAUCGUCGCCCCCCAAAAUUCCGAUAUCUCGCCAGAGACAAUCGGGAAGAGGAUGGGCGGAAAAUGGUCUCCCGUGCGCUCCCGUUCGCGGUUGGCCCAAAAAUGAGUUCCUGGCAAAGCAAAGCCACGACCAGCGGUGGUUGUAAGACCCUCGGUACAAGUCGUGAGCCUUGCAUUGCUCGUAGGGACAUGUUGACCCUGAACGUGAUCGAGUAACAUCGAACACUCACAAAGUGACCCCAGGUCAGGCGGGACUACCCGCUGAAUUUAAGCAUAUCAAUAAGCGGAGGAAAAGAAACUAACAAGGAUUCCCCUAGUAACGGCGAGCGAACCGGGAAAUGCCCAGCUUGAAAAUCGGAUGCCCCAGGCGUUCGA
rnacentral:rRNA from 1 species